UCUCCGCCAGAGAACUACAAGUAAAAAACUUGAAACUCAAAGGACUUGACGGUGUCCCAUAUCGACCUAGAGGAGCCUGUCCUAUAAUCGAUAACCCCCGUUCCACCCCACCCUAACUAGCAUACCAGCUUAUAUACCGCCGUCGACAGCCUACCCCUUGAGGGUUAAACAGUAGACACAAUUGCUCAACCGUUAAUACGUCAGGUCAAGGUGUAGCACAUGUUAGGGAAGCGAUUGGCUACAUUUUUUAUCUUAAAAGAUACGAAAGGCACUAUGAAACAAUGCAUGAAGGUGAAUUUAGUAGUAAAGUAGAUAAGAGUGUCUGCUUUAACAACGCUCUGGGACGCGUACACACCGCCC
rnacentral:rRNA from 1 species